GACGAACGCUGGCGGCGUGCUUAACACAUGCAAGUCGAACGGAAAGGCCCUGCUUUUGUGGGGUGCUCGAGUGGCGAACGGGUGAGUAACACGUGAGUAACCUGCCCUUGACUUUGGGAUAACUUCAGGAAACUGGGGCUAAUACCGGAUAGGAGCUCCUGCUGCAUGGUGGGGGUUGGAAAGUUUCGGCGGUUGGGGAUGGACUCGCGGCUUAUCAGCUUGUUGGUGGGGUAGUGGCUUACCAAGGCUUUGACGGGUAGCCGGCCUGAGAGGGUGACCGGCCACAUUGGGACUGAGAUACGGCCCAGACUCGUACGGGAGACAGCAGUGGGGAAUAUUGCACAAUGGGCGGAAGCCUGAUGCAGCAACGCCGCGUGCGGGAUGACGGCCUUCGGGUUGUAAACCGCAUUCGCCUGUGACGAAGCGUGAGUGACGGUAAUGGGUAAAGAAGCACCGGCUAACUACGUG
rnacentral:rRNA from 1 species